AGAGCCUGUGCAGAUGGAAGCACUCCCCAGAGGAAGCAGUGGUUGCGUGCCAGCCUCUGCUGCAGGAAGGGAGGCCAUGCCAGGCACAGGCACAGGAGAUGAGGGUGUUGGGAAGGCUUCUCCAUCAGCUUGGAUGAAUAAAGUUUUGAAGCCCUUGCAGCCUCCUGCAGGUAUGUUCUAAGUGUGCCACCAAGGAAGAAUUGUAGACAAGCGGGCAGGAACCAGGUGACAGAAGCUGCUGGGGCUGUUGUGUUACAGAUGUGUCUGCAGGGAAGACUUCUCCAGCUUCUCCAGCUGCUACCUUGGAUGCUGCACUCAAGCCCAGCUCCCAUCUCAGGGGUGAGUAGUGUGUCCCUGCUGACCCACAGGCUGAGCCCUGCUUUUGUGGGAUCCAUUCCUGGGAAAUGGAACUACUUUCUCUUAAGGUCCUCCACCAGAAGAGACCAAAGGCAUGGCAGACAAGAAAUUCCAGAACCCAUUUGAAAUCAUGUGGCAAAUGCUGAAGGAAAUGCUGCAGAGAAGACAAGAAUUGGAUUUUGAGCCUGUGCAGAAGGAAGCAUUUGCCGGAGGAAGCAGUGGUUCUGUGCCAGCCUCUGCUGCAGGAAGAGAGGCCAUGCCAGGCACAGGCACAGGAGCUGAACCUGCCGGUGAAGGCCCCACAUCCAAGACUGAGCCUCUGGGAGAUGCUGAGGGUAG